GAUGAACGCUGGCGGCGUGCCUAAUACAUGCAAGUCGAGCGAACAGACGAGGAGCUUGCUCCUCUGACGUUAGCGGCGGACGGGUGAGUAACACGUGGAUAACCUACCUCUUAGACUGGGAUAACUUCGGGAAACCGGAGCUAAUACCGGAUAAUAUAUUCAACCGCAUGGUUCAAUAGUGAAAGACGGUUUUGCUGUCACUUAUAGAUGGAUCCGCGCCGCAUUAGCUAGUUGGUAAGGUAACGGCUUACCAAGGCAACGAUGCGUAGCCGACCUGAGAGGGUGAUCGGCCACACUGGAACUGAGACACGGUCCAGACUCCUACGGGAGGCAGCAGUAGGGAAUCUUCCGCAAUGGGCGAAAGCCUGACGGAGCAACGCCGCGUGAGUGAUGAAGGUCUUCGGAUCGUAAAGCUCUGUUAUUAGGGAAGAACAAAUGUGUAAGUAACUAUGCACGUCUUGACGGUACCUAAUCAGAAAGCCACGGCUAACUACGUG
rnacentral:rRNA from 1 species